rnacentral:rRNA from 1 species
CUACUACCGCCUACGAUCUACUCUCGGCAUCGAGGAUGGAUGAAAGGUGGCUAGUAUUUAUUAUCUAUCACUGACCGAGGGGAGGGCGUCUGUUUAGCUAGUUGGAGGGGUAACGGCCCACCAAGGCGAUGAUCAGUAGCCGGUCUGAGAGGAUGAACGGCCACAUUGGGACUGAGACACGUCCCAGACUCCUACGGGAGGCAGCAGUGGGGAAUCUUCCGCAAUGGACGAAAGUCUGACGGAGCAACGCCGCGUGAGUGAUGACGGCGUUCGGGUUGUAAAGCUCUGUUAAUCGGGACGAAAGGCCUUCUUGUGAAUAGUUAGAAGGAUUGACGGUACCGGAAUAGAAAGCCACGGCUAACUACGUCCCAGCAGCCGCGGUAAUACGUAGGUGGCAAGCGUUGUCUGGAAUUAUUGGGCGUAAAGCGCGCGCGGGCGGAUUGGUCAGUCUGUUUUAAAAGUUCGGGGCUUAACCCCGUGAUGGGAUGGAAACUGCCAAUCUAGAGUAUCGGAGAGGAAAGUGGAAUUCCUAGUGUAGCGGUGAAAUGCGUAGAUAUUAGGAAGAACCCCCGUGGGGAAGGCGUCUUUCUGGACGAAAACUGACGCUGAGGCGCGAAAGCCAGGGGAGCGAACGGGAUUAGA